rnacentral:rRNA from 1 species
GACGAACGCUGGCGGCGUGCUUAACACAUGCAAGUCGAACGGAAAGGCCCUGCUUUUGUGGGGUGCUCGAGUGGCGAACGGGUGAGUAACACGUGAGUAACCUGCCCUUGACUUUGGGAUAACUUCAGGAAACUGGGGCUCAUACCGGAUAGGAGCUCCUGCUGCAUGGUGGGGGUUGGAAAGUUUCGGCGGUUGGGGAUGGACUGGCGGCUUAUCAGCUUGUUGGUGGGGUAGUGGCUUACCAAGGCUUUGACGGGUAGCCGGCCUGAGAGGGUGACCGGCCACAUUGGGACUGAGAGACGGCCCAGACGCCUACGGGAGGCAGCAGUGGGGAAUAUUGCAGAAUGGGCGGAAGCCUGAUGCAGCAACGCCGCGUGCGGGAUGACGGCCUUCGGGGUGUAAACCGCUUUCGCCUGUGACGAAGCGUGAGUGACGGUAAUGGGUAAAGAAGCACCGGCUAACUACGUG